CUCGCUCUCUCUCCCUGGUAUCUCACCGCUGCAUCGGUGCAGGUACAACCAUGAUCUCUACAAGGUGGCAGCUUGGAUGUUCAAACUGAAUUCAGCUGUAUUACAUAUACACCUCCUACUCCUCUACCCAGCCCUAGUGAAGGAAUCUUGACCUUCUUAGGCACCGAGAACCCAGACUGAAGCAAGGAGGGGUAAAAUGAAUGACUGCGAAAACCAUUUCUCUCUAGAGGCACGGAGAAGAGGAGGACCUUUUGACAGGAGGUCCCUGACCAACAUCUUUGAAGAGCAAUAUAUCAAGCAUUCAAGGAGACAGUGGUCGUUCUAAAAGAAGUACAUAGUGUCCGAAAAGGGAAGCGGAUUUGUGCCAUAGGCCGCUGCCCUCUGAUGUGUGGACAAUCACGAGACCCAGAGUCAUCCUAGGGAGUUAAAGAACCACCAGCCUCACCACUGAAGACUGAGCACUGACGACUCCAGCCUUCCUGGAGAUGCGUAAGAAGUACAUGGCUUCCAGAACGAUACCUGCAUAAAAGCAAAACGGACUUCCAGGGUUUGGUGUGACAAGCAGUGAAGAAUACUGGCUCAUUUAUUAGCAGCAGCCACAACCUUUUUUCAGACCAUUAAAAAAAAAAAAUGAUGUCACUGCAUUUCGCCCAGAUCUGCUGUGGUGGCAAGAGUUUGGGAAAAUACCUGUCAGACUGAAAAACAAAAAACGGACAUUGUACUUCAAUCACAUUUAAUUCCGAAUGUGUUCAUCAACGUCAUUGUUCACCAUUCUGGAAAAAAAAAAGUUAUGAACAUAAUUACGUGUGUCGAUUCUCGAUCAAUUUUGUUCUAUAACUGAGGCAGAUACUACCCCGCCAAUUCUAAGUCAUCCUCACUUAUCAAAAAUUCAAGGGAGUUUUUAGAGACUUUAUUUUUCAAACUACCAAGGAAGUGCUCAGUAUCUCAUCAAGCAGCACAUUUUUAGCAAAUACUCUACUUCAUCACUUGGCUUUUCUUAAGACAACAGUUUGAGGAAGAAGAAAGCAUGAAAAAAGAUGAAACUUUUCUAUUCCCAGGCUCUGAACUAUGAGCCAAGGAGGAUGAUGGCAAGAAUCUCUCAUCUACUCAGAAAAAGUUAAAUAAAACUGAGAGUCCAUUAGAGAAGAGUUAGAGAUUCAUCCCCCUUGAGCUAUAUUUAAGCUCUCAACAUAAGAGGCAACAAGAAUUUCAA